AACGAACACUGGCGGCAUGCCUAACACAUGCAAGUCGAACGAUGCCUUCGGGCAUAGUGGCGCACGGGUGCGUAACGCGUGGGAAUCUGCCUUUCGGUUCGGAAUAACUCAGGGAAACUUGAGCUAAUACCGGAUAACGUCGCAAGACCAAAGAUUUAUCACCGAAAGAUGAGCCCGCGUAGGAUUAGCUAGUUGGUGAGGUAAAGGCUCACCAAGGCGACGAUCCUUAGCUGGUCUGAGAGGAUGAUCAGCCACACUGGGACUGAGACACGGCCCAGACUCCUACGGGAGGCAGCAGUGGGGAAUAUUGGACAAUGGGCGAAAGCCUGAUCCAGCAAUGCCGCGUGAGUGAUGAAGGCCUUAGGGUUGUAAAGCUCUUUUACCCGGGAAGAUAAUGACGGUACCGGGAGAAUAAGCCCCGGCUAACUCCGUG
rnacentral:rRNA from 1 species